ensembl:snRNA U6 U6 spliceosomal RNA
CAGCAGUGUGUGGUGUUGUUUUGGCUAACAUGGGAACGAUACAAAGAAAAUUAGCCUGGCCCCUGCACAAGGAUGACACACAAAUUCCUGAAGCGUUCCUCAUUUUA